CCCGGUUUUAGAGAUGCCGCUUUGCGUUGUCAGCGGCAAAGCGGCGCGCAAGGCGGGAAUUCAACAGGUGCUGCUUUUCGUGGGACCAUUUGCUCAAGGGGUCGGGCUAGAUGAUCCUUGGUGGUCUCUCUCAGCUCUACAAUUCUGUGAUUCGGUGGCAGGGCAUCAUCUUUGCAUGCAGAAGGUCCCAGGUUCAACCCCCCCACCAAUACCCAGGUAGUGCCCAGGGCCGGAUUUAGGUUUGAUGAAGUUGGCACCCUUGGGUAGUGCUGGGAAAGACCCCUUGCCUGAAAUUCCUGGAGAGGUGCUGCCAGUCAGUGCUGGCAAUAUGGAACCAGAUGACCAAUAUGCAGCUUUCUAUGUUCCUGAAGGGAUUUAGCAGAUUUCUGGAGGAGGAGGAGGAUUAUCAAUGGCAUGACAGAUAAAUUAAAACCUCCAGGUUCAGAGCAGAGAUUUGGAUGCUACUAAAAGACAGAAGAAUGUGCAUACAAAAUGGGAAAGGAGGCUUCCGGUCCGUCGCACCGAGGAAGGAGGACGCAGGGACUUCGCGCUCCGAAGUCCCUGGCCUCUCGGAGGGGGGGGGGGAAGCCCGCAGGGCGAGUGGACUCCCCACAAAAGCACCGGGAAGAGCGUCCCGGUGACUCACGACCCAGCAGCUGCUCCGUUCCGCGAAUCCUCCGCUGCCCGAGAGCUCAGUAGAGCGAUCGAGAGCCAGCGGAGUGGAGUCGCGGGAGCCAUUUUGGGAUCCAUUUUACCUCCGAGAGGCGAAGCUCCGAGUCUUCACCCGGCAAGCGGCAGAUUCUUCCAAAAAAAAAAAAUUAAGAGACUUAUACAAAGUAAGUGAAAUUUACAUUUGGACUUUUAAAAAAUUAAUCUCGAAAAUAGGAGAGAUUUAAAAAAACGGAAGUCGAUCUCUUCCUAUUGGCUAAUUGGGAGGCGCAUUAAAUAUCCUCAAGUCGAAAAAGGAAAAAAGUUUUUGGAUUGUGAACCCGAGAGAAAGAAAGACUUUUUCAACCCUUCUCAGCUCCCGAGUCCGGCACCCCUUGAGGUUCAGCAUUAAUAAGGGGAAAGUAUUUUGACAGCUGUCAAAAGCUGUCAAGUUGCUAAAAGACUAAGGAAAUUUAUUGCGUUGCUGUGGAAGUAAAAUUUUGGAAUUGGGACUGGACUUUUGAUGGAGUUAAAGACAAAAGAGAAGAUCAGCCAAGAUGGAGCCGACCGUGUAAAAGCAAGGAAUUUUCCAGCACCCUUUGCCCUCUAUCUUCUGCCUGUCUGCGGUUAAGAGAACUAUGAAAACAAAGUAUUCUCAAGCCUUCCAGGUGGCUGUGCUGAAUUAUCUACAAAUAUGGGAGGACAUUUACAAGGAACGACAACACCCUAAUGGAUCAUUACUAGAAAAUGAGGUUCAAGAUCAGGAUUUGGACAAUUUUGACUCUGAUAAUUUUGACUUUGAGACAGAGUAUGAGGAGCAACAAUUUGAUGACAAAGAAGAAGGUGAUCUGGACCAUAAAAAAUACUUUGCGGAUGAGGUAAAACAAGGAUUUGAAAAAGAAGAACAGAGUGACAAGGAGAAGCAAACUGAAAUGAAGAUUAAUGGAAAGAAGGAACCUGGAGGGGCUGAAGUGGGGAGUUAUGUCAUUGUGGGAGAGGAAAGGCAGGGGGAGGGGGGAAUAGGGGUCUGGAGUUGCAAGGGGGAAAGAACUGGUGUGGGGUGAGAAUUUUAGUUUAAAGGCUUUUUGGUUUUUGAAUGACGGUUUCUGACAUCUUGGCUUGCUUAAGGAAUGCUGAUCCAAUUGGGGGAAAAGAUAUUGGGAGGGGGGAAGGAGAGUGUUGUAAAAAUUGACCUUUCUGGAGGGAGUUGGAAGAAGGGCUGAGGAAAUAAUUUUUGGAUUAAUAUGAAUAAGUUUGUGUUUAGAUAGGUGUCUGAGUAGAGAGCUGCCUGUCUCUCUCUCUUUACUCGGUGGCACUUAGUGGCAGGGGGUGCCCUGGGGGGAGGGGAGGGGGUAGAGGGAAACCCAGACACAAAAAAUGGAACCUUUGAAGUGCUGGGCCCCGCGAGUCCCUCUUGUGGCAGAGGAGGGCUCGUGGGAGCCCGGCACGAAGAAGGAGGAUUAGGUUAAUAGUGUAAGAAUAAGAUUUUGAAUUAGAGUAGAAAACCCGCCAUAAUUAAUUAGAGAAUUUAGGAAAACCAGGAGGUAGAGAUUUGAGGAAGCCACAAUUACAAUGUUAAGAAAAUAAGAUUUGGGAAUUUAUAGUUCUUUUUUCUUUUUUCUUUUUUCUUUUUCUUUUUUCUUUUUUAUUGUCUUUUUGUUGUUGUUUUUUGUUAAAUUGGAUUGUUAUGCUGAAGAAUCAGCUGGGGGAAAACCAAGCCUCAGAGAACCUCCAUCCCUGUCCUCUCAGUGGCAGGGAGGGGAUGAGGGGGGAGGAAGGAGGGGGGAGGUCAAACCCAGCAAAAAAUGAAUCCCUUUGGUUCCCAAUGCUCACGGGUACUACUGGUGGCAGAAGUGGUCUUGUGGGUGGAGGGAAACUGAAGGGACAGAGUAUACAUUGUAUGUUAUGUUUGUCUUCUU